ensembl:lncRNA
UGCAGGAUUUUUGCUUUUCAAAGCUAAGCUCAAUGUAUCAUUUUUAAAUUUCGAAUGUUUCCCUUUCCUACUUCCUUUAAGCUAAAUGUAGCUUGAGGACAAUGACUUGUAGAGCUAUCAAGAAAUACACAGGCAUCACACUCUGUACCCAAACAGUUUUCCCUUAUCUUUCCAGCAAAUACAGAGUCUGUCUGGGCACUAAUGGCCAAAGCACAGCAGAGCAGUAAAGCCAAGGAAGUGAUUUUGCUUUGUCCUAUGGCACUGAUCAACCACUAUACAGUGAUAACUGUGAGACUGUUUUAUCCCCAACACUGCCCUCUCCUCAGAAUUCCAGCACUAUCCAGUCGCCUGCCUCACUGGCACAACUAUUUCGAGGGCUGUGCAAUAGUGCAAACUCACUAUGUACAAACCAAACCUCACUUCUAUCCCCAGACCUGCUCCUCUGGCAGCUUCUGCAUUUCUGCUGAUGGCAAUUCCACCCUUCCAGUUGUUCAGGCCAAAACCCGUCACUGUAUUACCUUAAAAUUUCAUCUGGAAACCAACUUUAUACUCAUGCCCUCUUCUUAUACUUUCUACCCUGGAGUGAGUCACUCUCCUUACAUCACUGCAACUGCCAUCUAACUGGUCUCUGUGCUUCCAUUCCUGCCCCCAGAAUCUAGUCUCAUAAGAGGCACUAGGACAAACUUUUCUAAAACAUAAUCUGGAUCAUGUUACUCCACAAACCCUCCAUGGGUAUCCCAUUUCACUCAGGGUAAAAAUCCAAGUCUUUGAGAUGGCCUACAAAGGCCUAUACCAGGAGCUUCAAACAGUUUGUGCACAAAGCCAAAGAGUAAAUAUUGUUUGCUUCAUGGUAAAAAAAAAAAAAAAAAAAAACUGCUCUCCAUCUCAACUACUUACUCAAGGCAGCAGCAGACAAGAUAUAAAUGAAUGGUCAUGGUUAGUAUUUGCAAAACAAAGCCAUGGGCAAGAUUUGGCUAGUUGGCCGUAAUGCCCCACACCCUGUCUAACAUUCUGCUUUCCUGCUUUAUUUACCUCCAAAGCACUUAAUGCCAUCUGCCAUACAGUGUAUUCACUUGUUUAUUUUAUGUCUCCUCUAAUUAGGGUAUAAGCUGCAUUGUCUCUUUCCUUUAAGCAGUAUGUCCAGUAUCUAGAAACCUUUCCUGUUACAUGUUGUACUGAGCUGUGCUUAGUUGCUCAGUCAUAUCUGACUCUGUGUGGACCCCAUGGACUAGAAGUCCACCAGUCUCCUCCAUUCAUGGAAUUCUCAGGCAAGAAUAC